CCUACUGGAGGCAGCAGUGAGGAAUAUUGGUCAAUGGGCUUACGCCUGAACCAGCCAAGUCGCGUGAGGGAAGACUGCCCUAUGGGUUGUAAACCUCUUUUGUCAGGGAGCAACGCCGGCUACGUGUAGCCGGACUGAGAGUACCUGAAGAAAAAGCAUCGGCUAACUCCGUGCCAGCAGCCGCGGUAAUACGGAGGAGGCGAGCGUUAUCCGGAUUUAUGGGGUUUAAAGGGUGCGUAGGCGGAAUGCCAAGUCAGCGGGAAAAUCGCGGGGCUCCACCUCGCUCCGCCGUUGAAACUGGCGUUCUGGAGUGGGCGAGAAGUAUGCGGAAUGCGUGGUGUAGCGGUGAAAUGCUUAGAUAUCACGAAGAACCCCGAUUGCGAAGGCAGCUUACUAAACUGUGACUGACAUUGAUGCGCGAAAGUGUGGGUAUCAAACAGGAUUAGAUACCCUAGUAGUC
rnacentral:rRNA from 1 species